GUGGGGGAUAUUGCACAAUGGGGGGAACCCUGAUGCAGCGACGCCGCGUGGGCGAUGGAGCGUUUCGGCGCGUAAAGCCCUAUCAGCAGGGAAGAGAAUGGACGGUACCUGACUAAGAAGCCCCGGCUAACUACGUGCCAGCAGCCGCGGUAAUACGUAGGGGGCAAGCGUUAUCCGGAUUCACUGGGCGUAAAGGGAGCGCAGGCGGCACGGCAAGUCCGGUGUGAAAGCCCGGGGCCCAACCCCGGGACUGCACUGGAAACUGCCGGGCUGGAGUGUCGGAGGGGCAGGCGGAAUUCCUGGUGUAGCGGUGAAAUGCGUAGAUAUCAGGAGGAACACCGGUGGCGAAGGCGGCCUGCUGGACGAUGACUGACGCUGAGGCUCGAAAGCGUGGGGAGCAAACAGGA
rnacentral:rRNA from 1 species